AUCAGGUUAUUCAAUUUAGUUAAGACUUGUCGUUUGUAUCAACCUAAUUUCAAAUCUUUACUAAACUUGAUUUUGUAGGGAUCCGGGGUCAUGGGCCACAACACGCCACCACCGGUCAUACGUGGAGGUUAUCUUUGUGUCAUAAGUUGUCGACGUUUAGGGUUUAGAGCCGUCGUGAUCGUAUCCUCCGGCCUGAACAACGUUGUUUUAUGUUCAGAGCGGAGGACCCGACUUUUACGUUUACCUCGCUCACGUUUUCUGUCGACGACGUUCUUUAGUAGUGCCCCCGCGCAUCGGUGUGGAUGGACGCGCAGUGGGAUAUAUAUGUGUUUCCAGGUAGUUGGAGAUUCGAAACGAACCAGUGAUGUAGAUUUGUUUCAUCUAAAUAUAUGCUAUAGUUCAAAACUGCUGAAGCCUUUUUGAGCAGUGUCGUCGUUGAUGUGGCGCUGCGCUUGUGACGUUCUUUCGUGUCGCUAGCCAAAACAGAAGUAUAUCGUGACAAUCGGUUGCGGGGCAGCUGGCGACAUCCACUUUCUCGGCUCUCGUCCAUCCACCAAUUCUUAAGCUAGAAACGACACUGAAAUGAUCCUAUUGCAAAAUAACUUUGUCUAAGAGAUUAUCUCAAUCGUGUCCUGUCUUAUUAUUGCAACCAAAUACUCUCUCUGUCCCAAAACAUUAGUCAUCUUACCUCUUGAAUUUUUUAUAUAUGUUUAAAUAAAUAACGAUGAAUCUAGACACAUAUAUGAAACAAAUACAUUAAUUAUUGUAUAAAUAAACUAAAAAGAUAAAACAAAUUUUAUUUUGGUACGGCGGGAGUACAGCGUUAGGGUUCGAUUUGUUGAGAACUACGUCACCACGGAUCACCAGAUCCGCUCCCUUCCCUCCCGUCAGCAGUAGAGGCGCAAGAAGCUGUAGAGUACCCGUCUUCCUUCCCAUUAGCACGACAGAGGAAACACAAUAGACACGAUGUAGGGUUGGGCCUCUGGUCUCUUUCUCUUCUCUCUUCCAUAUGAGGGGUACAUGUUCUAUAUAUAGAGACGCGAUAGCCCUUAGGGCUAUAUUCGGUAUUUGCCCACAUAACCCAUUAGCGCCGAGGUCAUUCUAUCAACAACUUUCGACAAUAUUUAGAUGUCUACUUGACUGUAGACCAGUACAUGGAGGUAAAAAUCUAAUUUAACAGCUCAUUCAAAUGUGAAUGUAAUUUUGAGCUAACGCUUUAUAUGCAGGUAACUCUUCCAUGGAUGGAACACCGGCCGCAGGCUUACAAGGCUUUGUGUGAGAUAUGGGCUUCGCCCGAGUGGAUUGAGAAGUCAAACAGAAAUCGACAUAGGCAGCGCCAUCAACAGGACGAGGACGAUGAUGAGGUCGUAGUCAACCAUACCUAUGGGGCUGAUGGACACAUUCAAUUGGCUAAGCGAAUGGUGAGUAUGUAGUAUUCUGUUUUACUCAGAAAUGAAACAGGAUUGAGCUCAUAUAUUUGCAGGAGGCUCAAACUGGAGUUGUCCCAAGCCCAAUCGAUGUUUAUAGGAGAGGGCAUCGAGCGAAAAAUAGUGAAAUCUCCGACGAGCUGUGUAGUCAAGCGGCCGUUGAGCGUAUGGUUAGUUGUUGUUAUGAUUAAUAUUUUCUUGUCAUAUAGCUAUAAAUUACAUGUGUGCUGAACCUUCAUAUUGUAUUGCAGGAGACAUACGGGCAGGAGAUGGUUAAGAAGUAUGGAGAAGACUACGAUUGGCGAGGAGCGCCUACCAUCGAUGCUGAAGUUGUGCAUUCACUUGGAGGCAAGACGCAUGGACGGUAUGAACUUGUAAAUUGUUUUCAAUAAUAUUGGAACUACGACCGAAUAGCUAAUUUUCUUGUUUUUCAAGAUAUUCUAUGUUUACCGGUGUUAUCGAUUCGACAGAGUUGCGUUCUCGUGGCGGCUCUUCGUCGCAGGCGGGCUGUGGUAGUAGCAGCCGUAGUCGCCGCUCUGUAUCUAGCAUGGAGGAAGCUAUGAGGGAGCAGCAAGAAAAGUUUCGUGAAGAGCUACGGCAACAACAAAUGGCAUUUCUCCAACAGCAAUCAGCGUACAUGGCUGCUUACAAUGCGCAGGCGCAACAAGCAAUGAACGUGAGUGUCUUAUUUAUUCUCAACACGCUCGAUAUUGGUUCUAUAACUAAUAUAUUAUAUUUGCAACAGUCUUGGUUUCCACAACAGGCACAACAACAACCAUUUGUUUUCCCUCAAUUUCAGCCGCCGAUGCCUCAGUGGGGAUUACAUGCUCCGCCACCUCCACCUCCACAUCAGGUUAUUCAAUUUAGUUAAGACUUGUCGUUUGUAUCAACCUAAUUUCAAAUCUUUACUAAACUUGAUUUUGUAGGGAUCUGGGGUCAUGGGCCACAACACGCCACCACCGGUCAUACGUGGAGGUUAUCUUUGUGUCAUAAGUUGUCGACGUUUAGGGUUUAGAGCCAUCGUGAUCGUAUCCUCCGGCCUGAACAACGUUGUUUUAUGUUCAGAGCGGAGGACCCGGCUUUUACGUUUACCUCGCUCACGUUUUCUGUCGACGAUGUUCUUUAGUAGUGCCCCGCGCAUCGGUGUGGAUGGACGCGCAGUGGGAUAUAUAUGUGUUUCCAGGUAGUUGGAGAUUCGAAACGAACCAGUGAUGUAGAUUUGUUUCAUCUAAAUAUAUGCUAUAGUUCAAAACUGC
rnacentral:lncRNA from 1 species